GUAACUAUUAAGUUAUUCAGACGCUGACUGCAAUUACAAAGAGUUUAAGGUUGUCCAACCGGCAGGCAAGCCUACCGAGGAAACAAUAAGUACGCAAAAAACACGGAUGCAGGCAAGGGCUAUAUUGCUAUAGACCCCCGUUUGUCCUGAAAAGUAAUGAUCCUUCCGCAGGUUCACCUACGGAAA
rnacentral:misc_RNA from 1 species